CCCGACCCCCCAGCCGUCCGCACGUCCGUUCUCUCUCCCUCCCGGCGGCGUAUUUCCGUGCGCGCGUGUGUGCAUUUGUGUGUGUGGCGGCCGCGCCGGGCUCUCGAGGUGAAAAUACCGCCCUCUCCUUCCACCCAACCCCUCCGUAAACGCGGAAGGUAGGGCGCCCGCUAUCUCGCACGAGUAAGCACGCGAAACAAGGAGGAAGAGGAGAGGAGGACGAGGAGGAGGAGGAGGAGGAAGAAGAAGAAGAAGAAGAGAAGAAGGACGAGAGGCAGAUAGAGGAGGAGAAGAAAAAGGGGGGCAGGGAGACACCGGGGAGAGUGCAAAAAGACGGUGGGAAAAGGAAGAAGAAGUGGAAAAAGAAAGCGGCGAAGAAGGAAACGGUGCGCGGGCGGAGUGACAACGGCGCGGAGCGCGGGCGCGAGCGAGGACAGCGCGAAAGGAGAUCCCGACUUUAUUGGGAGUGAGCAGUGAGAAGGAGAUAGAGAUAGAGAGAGAGAGAGAGAGAGAGAGAAAAAAAAGUGUGAGGCGCCCACCCGUCAUUUAUCCUGAUACAGCAUGACCUCGAACAACUCGCAGAAGCUCUCCACGACGGAACGAGUGUUCAAAAGUGUUGACUUUCCACCGGCGCACAAAAUGACAGUGGCAGAGGUCUUCGACGAGCGGACAGAUCGGCCACGGCCGGAGGUCCUCAGGCAACACUUUAUCGCCGAAGGUAGGAUCGACGAAGCCGCGGCUCUUCGUAUCAUCAACGACGGAGCCGCCCUUCUACGCUCGGAGAAGACCAUGAUAGACAUCGAGGCUCCUGUCACUGUAUGCGGCGACAUCCACGGACAAUUCUACGACCUGAUGAAAUUAUUCGACGUGGGCGGGUCACCCUCCACGACCAAGUAUCUCUUCCUCGGCGAUUACGUUGAUAGAGGUUAUUUCAGUAUCGAGUGCGUAUUGUACCUGUGGGCGCUGAAACUGUGCCAUCCGACCACACUCUUCCUCCUCAGAGGUAACCACGAGUGCCGUCAUCUCACGGAAUACUUCACAUUUAAGCAGGAGUGUAAAAUUAAAUACUCCGAGAGGGUGUACGACGCGUGCAUGGAUGCCUUCGACUGUUUGCCGCUCGCCGCCCUCAUGAACCAACAGUUCCUCUGCGUGCACGGCGGCCUGUCGCCGGAAAUUCACAAUUUAGAAGACAUUCGCAAAUUGGACAGGUUCAAAGAGCCGCCGGCGUUCGGGCCGAUGUGCGACCUCCUCUGGUCGGACCCCCUCGAGGACUUCGGCAGCGAGAAGAACGCGGAGCACUUCUCCCACAAUAGCGUCCGGGGUUGUUCGUACUUUUACAGUUACGCGGCGUGUUGCGAUUUUCUGCAGAACAACAAUUUGCUGAGCAUUAUAAGGGCGCACGAGGCUCAAGACGCCGGAUACCGUAUGUACCGAAAGUCCCAGACGACGGGCUUCCCAUCGCUUAUCACCAUCUUUAGUGCGCCCAACUAUCUCGACGUAUACAACAACAAGGCGGCGGUUUUAAAGUAUGAAAACAACGUGAUGAACAUCAGGCAGUUCAAUUGCUCGCCACACCCGUACUGGUUGCCCAACUUCAUGGACGUUUUCACAUGGUCGUUGCCGUUCGUCGGCGAGAAAGUUACAGAAAUGUUGGUGAAUGUGCUGAACAUCUGCUCGGACGACGAGCUGAUGACCGACGGCGACGACGCGCUCGAGGAAGAUGUAUUACCGUAUUCACACGCCUGUGAUGACGAAAUUGCGGGCAUCCGUAAUCGUUCACGCGAAUUCCAGCGUUCGGCGAAGUCGCUCGCGUACAACGCGAUCUUUCCGCAUUUCAUUAUUUCGAGUCCGUUGUAUAAAGUAUCGCGAAUACCUCACGGUUUAUGUGUGUAUGUGUGUAUCCUCGUCACGACACAGUGAAUUUUAAUACGAAUACUUUCCGUUUUUGCCACGUCGUGUCGGUAAGUACGUUUCCUGUGGGAAUAUUCCCGUCCGCUCGGAAUACACACAACGCGAGCGAUUCUUCAUGAUUCCCGGGAAUUUGUUUCGUUAAAUUACAUGCGAAAAGUACCGGGGUAAAUGUCAUAUCACACUCCCGGGAAAAGAAACAAAAUAUCGUCGCAGGCCGUAAACAAUAUUUUUGCACGCGCGCUCGGUAGAUUCUCCGUGAACAUUUUCGCGAGCAACUUCGCCUAUUGUUCCGGGUCUUCGAUGGCGGAUUGAGCCGCUGAGCGGUGAGAUCUUCUCCCCAGAAUCUCAGACCGGGAAGAUCUCCGUGAAGGACACUACAUGUCAUCAUUCUCAAUCAUUCUCGCGAGGAUUCUCACGCGCGUUCUUUCGCCGUUCUCGCCGUCCGACACAAUCCGCCACUCGACGGACUCGUCCGACCGACGACCGAAAGAAAAUGAAAAAAAAAAGAAAAACAAUCAAAGAUAUAUAUAUAACGACGAUAGAAAUUAUCUAACGCACAUGCUUGAUUGAAUGCCACUUACGCUGUGCACACAUUUUUUCUUGUCUGUUCUAUGUGUUGUUUUCUUUGCGCAACAUUCUACAACCGCCUCUUCGCAACCACUACCAUCACCAACUUACUACUACUACUACCACCAACCACCGACACCAACCAACCAAUCAACCAAAACAACCAUCCGCAAACCGUAAAAAAAAAAAAUCAAAAACAAAACGUCUUCCCGUACCGGGCUGUGUCCGAACGAAAAAAAAAAAUCUCUGCCACUCUCUAUCUCUUCUCUUCGGCCGCAUUUGACGCUGCUCUCACAUUGUUGGUUACUUCUGUCCUUUUACUUACGUCCACGCUCACCAUCGGUAAACCGACCAUGGGCGCACCAUGGCCGCCAUGGUAACCCGAUGGUAACCCGACGGUCCGGUCCGAAUACGACCCCACCUACCAUCGCGUACGGUGAGUUAUUUUCUGUUGAAAGUGCGAGUAAGACCUACAUACUAUGAUCUAUCCUCUCUCUCUCUCUCUCUCUCUCUCUAUCUAUCUCUACUCUCUCUCUUUCUCUAUCUCUCUGUACUCUAUUUCUAUCGGCCGUGUACGACGAACCCGCGGGGACUCAACGCCGUUUCCCUACCGAAUAACGUACUGCUCGAAAGCGAAUCUCUCGUUAUUCGAUACCGCCGUAACGAGACCCGGUAAUUACGACGUAAGAUAACUCCGGCCGCCGCUGUGCCGGAGAAUUAACAUUGAUCAAUAAACUUCGUUAACGGCGCGAAAGACAAAGACGCGGCGCCCUCACAGUGAAAUCGGCGAAAUUCGGAAGGGUCGGGAGAACCCUCCUGCUCCUCCGAAGGGCUGAAGAGAUUUCAAAGGGUCGCGUACAUUCGGUCACGAUCGAAGGUAGUGGCGUUCAGUUCCCCGGCCGCAGUUGUCCACGAUUCGAGAAGAACAGAGUAUAACCAAUCUAGGAAAUCGUGUCUUAGCACCCCAAUGGUUCCCGAUUAGAAUCGCGUUGCUCGGUCGUCGUUAGCCCUCUACUGCUACUCCGCUUUUAUGUUCGAGAGAGAGAGAGAGAGAGGAAGUAGCGCGACUGUCCAAGUAGAAAAAUGUUGGGGAAAAACUAGUCACUAGAAACUGAACAGUUUUUACUGGCUUGAAUUAAUCAGACUAACUGUUUAGGAAUUGUCCAAAAAAUACUGACUAUUAUUUCUUAGUCAGUUACUUGCCAUAAACUAUUUAAAAGUUAAAAAAAAUUAGUAAGUUAAUACCAGACAAUUUCAGUUUCCAGCAAAAACUCUUAAAAUUCUUGCUAGUGUUUCUUGGUCGUAUCCUGGCCAGAAAUUAGGCAAAAUAAUAAACAAAUGAAAUGCUGAAAAUCUUAUUAGGAACUGGUCUGAAGCUGGUUAGUUUUACUAUCGAGUUAUUGUCGAAACAAAAGUCCCCCGAACUUGUAAGUUUUUGCCAGUAAAACUGAUCGGCUAGUUGGAGAAUUACUGGCCAGUUACUGGCUAGAAACUGGUUUAAUUUCUAUUUGGGUGUGCUCUCUCUCUCUCUCUCUCUCUCUCUCUCUCUCUCUCUCUCUCUCUCUCUCUCUCUCUCUCUUGUGAGUGUUGUUUUACUUUCGCUCCUCGAUUAUUUCGACAAGGCAAAAGGUCUUCAAAGCACGGCGUGAUCACAUUUCCCUAUUUAAUAACUGUACCUAUAUAGUGUGUCGUUUAAUUAGAUCUAUUUUCUACGCUCUGCCAGCAUCGUGUUUGGCGUUUUACAUAAAAUAAAUAAUUCCCGAAUUGCGCGCGCGCGCGCGCGCGCGUCACACAUACACACGGUGGAAUGCGCCGCCCGAAGAGUGACGGGCUGCGAAAGAGCAAGAGAAAAACAAACGUACACACACAGACAAAAGACACAAACGCGUCGAAGUGCGACUUCAACUGCGACUAUUACUUUUUCAAAGAA